rnacentral:rRNA from 1 species
UCAGAAACUCAAAGGAAGUUGACGGGGGCCCGCACAAGCGGAGGAGCAUGUGGUUUAAUUCGAUGAUACGCGAGGAACCUUACCUGGGCUCGAACGUAAGAUGACUGUAGGUGAAAGCUUACAUCUCUUCGGAGCAUUUUACGAGGUGCUGCAUGGUUGUCGUCAGCUCGUGCCGUGAGGUGUCGGGUUAAGUCCCAUAACGAGCGCAACCCCUACCUUUAGUUGCCAUCAGGUUAAGCUGGGGACUCUAAAGGAACUGCCUACGCAAGUAGUGAGGAAGGCGGGGAUGACGUCAAAUCAGCACGGCCCUUACGUCCAGGGCUACACACGUGCUACAAUGGCCGAUACAGAGGGCAGCUACCUGGUGACAGGAUGCAAAUCUCCAAAGUCGGUCUCAGUUCGGAUCGGAGUCUGCAACCCGACUCCGUGAAGUUGGAUUCGCUAGUAAUCGCGCAUCAGCCAUGGCGCGGUGAAUACGUUCCCGGGCCUU